CCUUAGUGUUGGAGGUUCUGUGAUGGAGGUGUCUCCUGAGCUAGGCCUAGAAGGAAAAGAAGGAUUUGAACAGGAAGAAAUAUGAAGGGAGAGUUGUCCAGACAUGAUAAGUGGUCUACAUAGAGGCAUAGAGAUGAGACAGGAUGAGACCAGAAAUACAGAAUGGAAUUCCCUGAAGGUCAAGGAGAUUCCAUAGUGAUGGGGGUUUAUGAACCAUGCAAGGUUCUGAGACUAGUAGAACAGAAUUCUACAUGUUGGGAUCAAAUGGACUUUAACGGUUACGACCAUGGUUUCCAGGCUGAUGGAACUGAGAGAUCCUGAAAUUGCAUUCCUGUCACAUCUCCUAUUUCUGUCACUGCUUCCAAGGAAACAUAAAAAGUUUAUCUUUGUCUCCAUAUUCAUUUUAUGCCCUAUUUUCCUAGCAAUCGGCCAUCUUGUCACCAACCCCCUUUCUGCCAAGCUGCAUAUCCUGCCACUAUCUACUCGUUCCAAUUCUGGAACCACAAUCAUAUCAAUUCUGCCAUUGCUUCUGGAAA